rnacentral:rRNA from 1 species
UACGGAGGGUGCGAGCGUUGUCCGGAUUUACUGGGCGUAAAGAGCGCGCAGGCGGUCGUUCAAGUCGCGUGUGAAAGCCCCCGGCUCAACUGGGGAGGGUCACGCGAUACUGAUCGACUGGAAGGCAGGAGAGGGUAGUGGAAUUCCCGGUGUAGUGGUGAAAUGCGUAGAUAUCGGGAGGAACACCAGUGGCGAAGGCGACUACCUGGCCUGUUCUUGACGCUGAGGCGCGAAAGCUAGGGGAGCAAACGGG